GAUGAAGAACGCAGCGAAAUGCGAUAAGUAAUGUGAAUUGCAGAAUUCAGUGAAUCAUCGAAUCUUUGAACGCACAUUGCGCCCGCCAGUAUACUGGCGGGCAUGCCUGUUCGAGCGUCAUUUCAACCAUCAAGCCCCCGGCUUGUGUUGGGGACCUGCGGCUGCCGCAGGCCCUGAAAAGCAGUGGCGGGCUCGCUGUCACACCGAGCGUAGUAGCAUACAUCUCGCUCUGGGCGUGCUGCGGGUUCCGGCCGUUAAACCACCUUCAUAACCCAAGGUUGACCUCGGAUCAGGUAGGAAGACCCGCUGAACUUAAGCAUAUCAAUAAGCGGAGGA
rnacentral:misc_RNA from 1 species